rnacentral:RNase_P_RNA from 1 species
GAAGCGGGUGAGGCGGCCGCUCCCGCCCUGAAAAGGCGGGGGAGGAAAGUCCGGACUCCGCAGGGCAGGGUGGUGGCUAACGGCCACCGUCCGUGAGGAUAGGGAAAGUGCCACAGAAACCACACCGCCCAAGGAGGCGCCUCAUGGCUCCUCCCGGCAAGGGUGAAAUGGCGAGGUAAGAGCUCACCGCGGGGCCGGAGACGGUCCCGGCAGGGUAAACCCCACCCGGAGAAAGGCCAAAUAGGGGAGGAGGCGCGGCCCGCGCCGCCAGCACUCCCGGGUUGGCCGUUCGAGGCCGGCCGCGAGGCCGGUCCCAGAGAAAUGGCCGCCGCCGCGCACUCGCGCGGGGACAGAAUCCGGCUU